rnacentral:lncRNA from 1 species
AUGAUCUGCUGGAAGCUAGGGUGUGGACAUUGGGACAGCAGCUGUGUCUUCCAACUGGAUCUAGGCUCUUCUCCAAGCAGGUACCCUGACCUCCACUGCAGAGCCAGUUCAGCUGGCCCACUUCACGUGAAGCUCAAAAUCUGUGUCAAAAAGUUGUGUUAUUCACGGUACUGAGCACAUGGAGUCGAGGAGGCUGAGAGGAAAGCUGCAAGUUGCCAGCAUGUCCUUUAGGGAAGAAGGCCACUUGCCUCGUUAAGGGAUGCCCUCGAUUAGUCUCCCUCUGGACUAAAGGCCCAGUGCAGCCAUGGGACAAGGCAGUAUUUACACAAAGCACAGGAGAUGCGUCAGAGCAGGAAAUACAAGGGUAAGUGAAACUAGUUUCAGAAGAAAGGACUGGAAAGUAGAGCUUAGCAGUCAGACGAUUCCUAUUCAGAAACAAAGUCAUUGUUAUUUUGAGAGUCUUGUUUCAUGAAUGAUAUGUGUAUCUGAGAUAUUUUCCCUGUUAUGAGAAGCAAAAUAUUUUUAUUAUUUUUUUUUUAAUCCCAGCAAGCAUCAUGCAGAGCUGAUAUUUUAGCCUUUCAGCAGGAAUGCUCCCAAGCAGCUGUCUGGGGGAUGCGGUCUGACAGCUUUGGGGCUGUGCAGGUGGCAGGCAGUGGGA